UAAUACGUAGGGUGCAAGCGUUAAUCGGAAUUACUGGGCGUAAAGCGUGCGCAGGCGGCUGAUUAAGCUUGAUGUGAAAUCCCCGGGCUCAACCUGGGAACUGCAUUGAGGACUGGUCGGCUAGAGUGUGGCAGAGGGAGAUGGAAUUCCACGUGUAGCAGUGAAAUGCGUAGAGAUGUGGAGGAACACCGAUGGCGAAGGCAGUCUCCUGGGCCAACACUGACGCUCAUGCACGAAAGCGUGGGAGCAAACAGGAUUAGAUACCCUGGUAGUCCACGCCCUAAACGAUGUCUACUAGUUGUCGGGAGGGAGACCCUUUUGGUAACGCAGCUAACGCGUGAAGUAGACCGCCUGGGGAGUACGGUCGCAAGAUUAAAACUCAAAGGAAUUGACGGGGGCCCGCACAAGCGGUGGAUUAUGUGGAUUAAUUCGAUGCAACGCGAAAACCUUACCUACCCUUGACAUGCCACUAACGAAGCAGAGAUGCCUUAGGUGCUC
rnacentral:rRNA from 1 species